UUUAUAAAGAGUUUGAUCCUGGCUCAGGACGAACGCUGGCGGCGCGCCUAACACAUGCAAGUCGAACGAGAGAGAGGGAGCUUGCUUCCUUGAUCGAGUG
rnacentral:rRNA from 1 species